rnacentral:lncRNA from 1 species
CAGUAUUUAGGGCUUUGGGGGUCUUGAGGUUCAGGUGAUUUAGAUCUUGAGGGGCUAACCCAUCAUUGGGCUAGGAUUGAGUUCGAGGUGAGUGAGUGCGCAUAAGUCAAGGGUGUAAUUAUUGGAUUUUAGGUAUUUUGUAUGUAGAUUUCAAAAUAAUUUUAAAUACAAGCAGCGGAAGACAAGAUUAAAUCAGAUUUAAUCCUAUGCAUGCAUAGAUUUGAAUAAAAUACCUAUGAAUUUAGUUCAUAUGAUGAUAAAUAAGAUAUAAAGCAUCUAAUUUUAGAGAUUAAAAUUUAUUUAU